rnacentral:rRNA from 1 species
CGAACGCUGGGAGGCGUGCCUAAUACAUGCAAGUCNGAGCGAACGGACGAGAAGCUUGCUUCUCUGAUGUUAGCGGCGGACGGGUGAGUAACACGUGGAUAACCUACCUAUAAGACUGGGAUAACUUCGGGAAACCGGAGCUAAUACCGGAUAAUAUUUUGAACCGCAUGGUUCAAAAGUGAAAGACGGUCUUGCUGUCACUUAUAGAUGGAUCCGCGCUGCAUUAGCUAGUUGGUAAGGUAACGGCUUACCAAGGCAACGAUGCAUAGCCGACCUGAGAGGGUGAUCGGCCACACUGGAACUGAGACACGGUCCAGACUCCUACGGGAGGCAGCAGUAGGGAAUCUUCCGCAAUGGGCGAAAGCCUGACGGAGCAACGCCGCGUGAGUGAUGAAGGUCUUCGGAUCGUAAAACUCUGUAUUAGGGAAGAACAUAUGUGUAAGUAACUGUGCACAUCUUGACGGUACCUAAUCAGAAAGCCACGGCUAACUACGUGACCAGCAGCCGGGUAAUACGUAGGUGGCAAGCGUUAUCCGGAAUUAUUGGGCGUAAAGCGCGCGUAGCGGUUUACAAGUCUGAUGUGAAAGCCCAGGCUCAAACGUGGACGGGUCAUUGGAAACUGGGAAAAUUUGAGUGCAAGAAAGAGGAAAGUGGACUUCCAUGGUGUAAGCGGUGAAAUGGCAAGAUAUGGAGG